rnacentral:rRNA from 1 species
GGGUGAGAAUCCCGUCCACCGAUUGACUAAGGUUUCCAGAGGAAGGCUCGUCCGCUCUGGGUUAGUCGGGUCCUAAGCUGAGGCCGACAGGCGUAGGCGAUGGAUAACAGGUUGAUAUUCCUGUACCACCUAUAAUCGUUUUAAUCGAUGGGGGGACGCAGUAGGAUAGGCGAAGCGUGCGAUUGGAUUGCACGUCUAAGCAGUAAGGCUGAGUAUUAGGCAAAUCCGGUACUCGUUAAGGCUGAGCUGUGAUGGGGAGAAGACAUUGUGUCUUCGAGUCGUUGAUUUCACACUGCCGAGAAAAGCCUCUAGAUAGAAAAUAGGUGCCCGUACCGCAAACCGACACAGGUAGUCAAGAUGAGAAUUCUAAGGUGAGCGAGCGAACUCUCGUUAAGGAACUCGGCAAAAUGACCCCGUAACUUCGGGAGAAGGGGUGCUCUUUAGGGUUAACGCCCAGAAGAGCCGCAGUGAAUAGGCCCAAGCGACUGUUUAUCAAAAACACAGGUCUCUGCUAAACCGUAAGGUGAUGUAUAGGGGCUGACGCCUGCCCGGUGCUGGAAGGUUAAGAGGAGUGGUUAGCUUCUGCGAAGCUACGAAUCGAAGCCCCAGUAAACGGCGGCCGUAACUAUAACGGUCCUAAGGUAGCGAAAUUCCUUGUCGGGUAAGUUCCGACCCGCACGAAAGGCGUAACGAUUUGGGCACUGUCUCAACGAGAGACUCGGUGAAAUCAUAGUACCUGUGAAGAUGCAGGUUACCCGCGACAGGACGGAAAGACCCCGUGGAGCUUUACUGUAGCCUGAUAUUGAAAUUCGGCACAGCUUGUACAGGAUAGGUAGGAGCCUUUGAAACGUGAGCGCUAGCUUACGUGGAGGCGCUGGUGGGAUACUACCCUAGCUGUGUUGGCUUUCUAACCCGCACCACUUAUCGUGGUGGGAGACAGUGUCAGGCGGGCAGUUUGACUGGGGCGG